rnacentral:rRNA from 1 species
GGUGCUUAUAGUGCUGAGGUUCCACCCGUUCCCAUUCCGAACACGGUAGUUAAGCUCAGUAACGUUGAUGAUACUUGGUUGGUGACGACCUGGGAAAAUAAAACGGUGC